rnacentral:rRNA from 1 species
UACAGAGGUCCCAAGCGUUGUUCGGAUUCACUGGGCGUAAAGGGUGCGUAGGUGGUGAGAUAAGUCGGAUGUGAAAUCUCCAAGCUCAACUUGGAAACUGCAUUGGAAACUAUCUUGCUAGAGGGUUUGAGGGGGGACUGGAAUACUUGGUGUAGCAGUGAAAUGCGUAGAUAUCAAGUGGAACACCAGUGGCGAAGGCGGGUCUCUGGGCCAUUACUGACGCUGAGGAGCGAAAGCGUGGGGAGCGAACAGG